GGUGUACCGCGGGUCAAAAUCUA
rnacentral:siRNA from 1 species